rnacentral:rRNA from 1 species
CACUGCCCGUCACACCAUGAAAGUUGGUUAUACCAGAAGUCGCUAUACCGACCGCAAGGAGGAAGGCGCCCAAGGUAUGAUCGAUGAUUGGGGUG